rnacentral:sRNA from 1 species
AGGAGGCCAUUCUCCAAUGUCUACGAGAUGCCAGCUGGCAUGCUGGCAUGUUAAGCCAGCCAGUGGCUCUGUUGGUACCCAGUGGUGUGGAUCUCACUACACUUCAUCGCCUCCUGGCCCUGGCAACCUCAGGCAGUUUCCCUGGCCAGUACACAGAAGCAGAUUUGGACCGCAUUGGAGAACACCUCCCCAGGGAGAACCUUGGUGUCAAACAGAACAUCAAGAAGGAAAUGGUGUUGCAGAGGUGAGGCCAAGAACCCCAUAUGCGAAUCUGCUCUGCUCUUACGCUGUCUUGGCCAAAAGGCCAAAAGGAAUUCUGUGGGCUGCCAUGAGGGCUGAGAAGAUUGGGGCUAAGUGGUCUGGCUGGGACUGGGGCCAGGAGGGGCAAGCAAAGGUAAAGGGGAGGACAUUAGCUGAGCCCUGGCCCACAGGUUCCACCAGCAAGUGUGCAGCCACCUUCACCUGUUCUUCCUGAUUGGAGAUAAACAGGCCCACAAGCAGCUGCCCUCCACCCUUUUCCUGAGGCUCCUUCAACUGGCCACUGCCAGCAUUGACCGCUAUGAACCCUGGGACCAAGCUGCCCUGGUCAAGGUGGCCCAGCAUCACCUGGAGGGUGCUCAGAGUGUACCCCUUGAUGACGGAUCCAGCAUGCCUUGGAGAAUCUGAGAAUGCUGACUAAGGAGCACGGUACCCAUGCCAAUCUGAUCUUUGACUUGGAACAGCAGCUGAAAGACUCCGGCAAGAGUCUCAGCAUGUUUCAGCAGCAGCUAGAGCAAAGCAAGCUCCUACACAAGCAGCAGCUGGAAGAGUGUCGGCAUCAAGAGAACCUCAUUGAGAACCUGGCCAGGCAACGGGAUGCCCUGCAAGCUCAGCAAGAGGCUUUCCUGGAGCAGGUGGGCUCUUCCUGCCGCCUGCCCUGCACUGCUCCUCUCUCGAAAGAGGGCAACCCCUCUAAGGAUACCAAGAGGAGAGGAUGGAGUGACUCAUGGAGGCUCCUGGGGGGAGGGGACAAAGGUAAUAGGAUGGCUUGGGGAGUGGCCUCUCAUGGGGACUCCAAGGAGAUGAUUCCCCUAAAA